UUAAAGGUUAUCAUGAUGAAUUUUAAAGUAAAUAUUUAAAAUUUGUUUUCAGAUCACACAGCAAUUAGAGAAUAUCUGUCUACGGAUCAUUGACCUUGUUUUACAGAAGCACGUAAUUGAAUUCUAUGAAGAAAUUCUUUCACUGGCAUAUAGUUUAACCUGUCACACAAUUUCCCCUCAAAUGUGGCAACUUCUAGGUAUUUUAUAUGAAGUUUUCCAGCAGGAUUGCUUUGAAUACUUUACAGACAUGAUGCCUCUCCUGCAUAAUUAUGUGACAAUAGAUACAAAUACUUUACUAUCAAAUCCAAAGCAUUUAGAAGUACUUUUUACAAUGUGUAGAAAGGUACUAUGUGGAGAUGCAGGAGAAGAUGCAGAAUGUCAUGCAGCCAAACUUCUUGAAGUCAUUAUUCUUCAGUGCAAAGGAAGGGGAAUUGAUCAGGUAAUACAAUUCUGGAAAGUGUCUAAACAUUCAAAUUUAAAAUUUAUAUGCCUGAUUGACAUUUUCUUUUGAUGCAAAAUUUAAAAGAUAGCUGAUAAUUUGUGCUUGUGGGUGCAAAUUUUAUUUAAAUGACCAAACAAUCAUGCAUUUU
rnacentral:lncRNA from 1 species